UUCCUUCAUUCUUUAUUUCUUUUUCUUGACACAAGUUCUUCUGUCCUGGAGCUUGCUAUGCAGUCGAGGAAGACCUUGAACUCCUGAUCCUCCUGCAUCCACCUCUGGGUUAUAGACAUAGCGGCAGCAUGAAAACCUGCUGGGAUGGACGGAGCGCUAUGUGUUCAGUGGCUUGCACAGGAAAUUGGAAAUCCGAGACCUGGGAUCGACCCCCACUUCUCUGACUCAUGCUUAAACAAACCCAACACACCCCCGACCUUUGCUCCCUGCAUCUGCAGCAGGCCUUACCCACCAACAGCUCCCCCCCCACCUUUGCUGGCACAGGGCUCACUGAAGGUCAGAGUACAGCCAACUUCCUGGGGGAAAGAAGCCUUAGAUGUAAGCUAGUAUUGUGUUGUAAGCUGUGACUUUUUUUUCUGAA